AUGGACGUGCACUCAGCUCCGUCUUGCCCUGCCGAGGCGAGGGCACCUGUUGAGCAUCUAAUAGGGCAGUUUGCAUCUGGAAUGACCGGCUUGCUUGGGAAGUUGAUUGAGGGUUCCCAAGAGCCUGCUGACACACAAGAUGAACUAGGUGGAGGUGCUGGUCUUAGCAAGGAUGACGACGAUGUCAUGGAGAAUGUGCAAGAGGACACCGAUGAUGAUGAACAUGCUGAAGUUCGCGCAGGUGGUAACAAGGGCAAGGAUGCAACAGAUGUCCCCAAACCGGAGAAAGUCAAACAACAUACGGCUGUGAGAGGCGAGGGGGUUUUGCCAUCAAAGAGGGGGAGGGCUCCAGAGGGUGUUGGGCAGGGUUCUGCUGGCAAGAGGUCUAGGACCGACCCCGUAGCUGCCAGGAAGAGCGAGCCGACAGCUGGUGGACGAGCAGUUACGAAGAAACAGGCGCCAACGCCAACCCGUGUUUCUGCUCAGUUGAACAAAGGCGCCCCCAUUGCCGGUGACACCCCUUCCACCAGGUCAUCUCCUCGCACGACGACGACCAACACCGGGGAUCCUGUCGUGUUGCCAGACCUGAGGAAGGCAGCCAAGAAGGUGAAGAAGACUACUACACGCGGGGCCAAGCAUAUCAGUAAGGACCCGCUCGAACGCCUGCAUUCAAAGUUGUCAACAUGGGGCAACUCAGAUGUACAUGAGGCACCAGGCGACAAUACUGCUGCUGCACCAUUGACCGCUCCCACCAACUCUGAUAGGCAUUCGUACAUCGGGGAGUGA
rnacentral:rRNA from 1 species